CUUGUGUGUAAACUACAUAUAUACAAGCUGGCAACCUGUUGAAGAUCUAUUUGACUAAUAUCACCCUUCUCACAUUCAAAAAUUGAUUUCAUUUUCUUCCACUGGUUGCUUUCAAAUCUUAAGCUUAUCAUCAUGAAAAUAACAUUGCCUCUAUUAUUCCAUCUUUUGUUUCUUGCCUUUUGUUUGAUCUCUUCAUUUGCUAGUGGAGCUACUCUAUUAGAAGAAGAAGCACAAGUUAUGAAAGACAUAGCUAAGACACUUGGGAAGAAGGAUUGGAACUUCAGCAUAGAUCCAUGUAGUGGAAAAAAUAACUGGGUAUCUUCUGUGCAAGUGAAAGGGUUUGAAAAUGCUGUCACAUGCAAUUGCUCUUUUGACAAUGCAACUGUCUGCCAUAUUGUUAGCAUUGUUCUCAAGUCACAAAAUCUUUCAGGCACACUUCCAAGGGAAUUUGUGAGAUUACCUUACCUCCAAGAAAUUGAUCUCACACGUAACAACCUUAAUGGUACAAUCCCUCCGCAAUGGGGAUCCAUCAAUCUUGUUAACAUUUCACUAUAUGGAAACCGAUUAACGGGUCAAAUCCCAAAAGAACUUGGAAAAAUCAUCACCCUAAAAAGCUUGGUUCUAGAAUUCAAUCAAUUAUCUGGAAAGCUUCCUCCAGAGCUUGGAAAUCUUCACCAGCUUGAAAGACUGCUUCUUACCUCCAACAAUUUUACUGGAAAUUUACCCGCAACAUUUGCUAAACUCACUAAACUGAAGCACAUUCGACUUGGCGACAAUCAAUUCUCUGGAACUAUACCUGAUUUCAUUCAGAGUUGGACAAGUCUUGAGAGGCUAGUGGUGCAAGGGAGUGGUUUCAGUGGCCCAGUUCCUUAUGGAGUUUCUUAUCUGAAAAACCUAACUGACUUGAGAAUAAGUGACUUGAAAGGAUCAGAUUCGCCUUUUCCACAACUUAUUAACUUGACAAACCUGGAAACAUUAGUACUGAGGAGUUGCAAUCUUAUAGGAGCAGUUCCUGAAUAUCUUGGAAAUAUUACCAACUUAAGAUCAUUGGACCUCAGUUUUAACAAAUUAAGUGGACAGAUUCCGAACACCUUGGGCGACCUGGAGAACAUAAAUAUAUUGUACUUAACUGGAAACCUUUUUACUGGACCGCUGCCAAAUUGGAUAGCAAGACCAGACUACACAGAUCUUUCAUAUAACAACUUGAGCAUUGAAAAUCCAGAGCAGUUGACAUGUCAACAGGGAAGCGUGAACUUGUUUGCAUCAUCUAUGAGAGGAAGUAACUUGGGAAUGGUUUCAUGUUUGGGUAACAUUGUCUGUCCUAAAACUUGGUACUCUCUCCAUAUAAAUUGUGGUGGGAAGCUCAUAACUUCAAAUGAAAGCUUAAUAUAUGAUGAUGAUGGUGAUUCAAAUGAAGUUGGACCAGCAAGCUUUCACCGGACUGGAUCGAAUUGGGCACUUAGCAACACGGGUCACUUCUUUGACAGUGGCCUUGUGGACUACUAUACUUGGUCUAAUACAACUAAACUUGCGAUGGAAAAUGGAGAACUGUAUAUGGAUGCACGUGUUUCUCCGCUUUCUCUAACAUAUUAUGGAUUUUGCUUAGGAAAUGGAAACUACACGGUAAAUCUGCAUUUUGCAGAGAUAAUGUUCACUGAUGAUCAAACAUAUAACAACCUCGGAAGGCGUAUAUUUGACAUCUAUAUUCAGAGAAGGUUGGCGCUGAAGGAUUUCAAUAUUGCAAAAGAAGCAGGAGGAGUUGGUAAGGCUAUUAUAAAGAAGUUCAAUGCUACUGUGACUAGUAAUACGUUGGAAAUUCGACUUCAUUGGGCUGGGAAGGGGACAACUGCUAUCCCAUUUGGAUCAGUAUAUGGUCCUCUUAUAUCGGCUAUAUCGGUUAAUCCUGACUUUACUCCCCCAGUGGAAAAGCAAAGUAGCAUGCCUGUGUGGAAUAUUGUUGCAAUUGUAGUUGCUGGAGCACUAGGUAUCUUCAUCGUAUUUGGUAUAGCUCGGUGGAGAGGAUGUCGACGACAGAUAGGUCCAUUAGAAAGAGAGAUAAAGGGUUUAGACCUCCACACUGGAUUAUUUACCUUAAGCCAAAUCAAAGCAGCAACUAACAACUUUGAUAUUGCCAAUAAGAUCGGAGAAGGAGGGUUUGGUCCUGUUUACAAGGGUGUUCUUUCGGAUGGCACCAUUGUAGCAGUUAAGCAGCUUUCUUCUAAAUCAAAGCAAGGAAAUCGCGAGUUUAUCAAUGAGAUUGGAUUUAUUUCUGCUUUGCAACAUCCUUAUCUAGUUAAGCUCUAUGGUUGUUGUAUGGAGGGAGAUCAAUUGUUGCUGAUAUAUGAAUACAUGGAAAAUAAUAGCCUUGCUUGUGCUUUGUUUGCCAAAGAAAAAGGUCAAUUGAAAUUGGCUUGGUCAACAAGGAUGAAAAUUUGCAUUGGUAUUGCUAGAGGUUUGGCUUAUCUUCAUGAAGAGUCGAGGCUAAAGAUAGUUCACAGGGACAUCAAGGCCACUAAUGUGUUACUGGAUAAGGAUCUCAAUCCAAAGAUAUCUGAUUUUGGUUUGGCGAAACUUAAAGAUGACGGACACACCCACAUAACCACUAGAGUAGCUGGAACUUAUUUCAAUGCUGCAGUGGAUAUAUGGCUCCGGAAUAUGCAAUGCAUGGUUAUUUGACUGAUAAAGCCGACGUUUAUAGUUUUGGAGUUGUUGCCUUGGAAAUUGUGAGUGGGAAGCACAACACCAUGAACUGGCCAAAGGAAGAAUGCUUCUCUCUUGUUGAUUGGGUGCAUCUCUUGAAGGAAGAAGGCAAUAUAAUGGACCUAGUUGAUGAAAGAUUGAGUGAAGAUUUCAAAAAAGAGGAUGUAAUGGUAAUGAUCAAUGUGGCUCUUUUAUGCACUCAUGUUUCUCCAAUGCAUAGGCCAACCAUGUCUUCAGUUGUAAGCAUGCUUGAAGGAAAAUCUGUUGUUCAAGAGGUGUUGCUUGACACAAGCCAGGUGUUUGAAGGCAAAAAGUUGGAGAUGAUUCAACAAUAUUAUCAGAAAAGUGGAAAAAAUGAUACCCUUGAGACUCAAGAAGAGAGUAUCUCAAUAGAAGCAACUGAAGAAUUUAUGUCUGAUACAGAUCUACUUUCUACCAACAUGGAUUCUUCUUAUAGAAGUUUUAACACUUUGUAAAUUUUUAUAUCUGCUAAUCUUUCCUUCACAUAUAUUGUAGUUUUAAUGAACUUUAUAAAAAGAAUUUACUAUACUAGCAGUCAAAUUAUAA